rnacentral:rRNA from 1 species
GUGGGAUUAGCUAGUUGGUGAGGUAAUGGCUCACCAAGGCGACGAUCCCUAGCUGGUCUGAGAGGAUGAUCAGCCACACUGGAACUGAGACACGGUCCAGACUCCUACGGGAGGCAGCAGUGGGGAAUAUUGCACAAUGGGCGCAAGCCUGAUGCAGCCAUGCCGCGUGUAUGAAGAAGGCCUUCGGGUUGUAAAGUACUUUCAGCAGUGAGGAAGGUGGUAGUGUUAAUAGCACUAUCAUUUGACGUUAGCUGCAGAAGAAGCACCGGCUAACUCCGUGCCAGCAGCCGCGGUAAUACUGAGGGUGCGAGCGUUAAUCGGAAUUACUGGGCGUAAAGCGCAUGCAGGUGGUUUGUUAARUCAGAUGUGAAAGCCCGGGGCUCAACCUCGGAAUUGCAUUUGAAACUGGCAGACUAGAGUACUGUAGAGGGGGGUAGAAUUUCAGGUGUAGCGGUGAAAUUGCGUAGAGAUCUGAAGGAAUACCGGUGGCGAAGGCGGCCCCCUGGACAGAUACUGACACUCAGAUGCGAAAGCGUGGGGRGCAAACAGGAUUAGAUACCUCUGGUAGUCCACGCCGUAAACGAUGUCUACUUGGAGGUUGUGGCCCUCGAGCCGUGGCUUUCGGAGCUAACSCGUUAAGUAGACCGCCUGGGGAGUACGGUCGCAAGAUUAAAACUCAAAUGAAUUGACGGGGGCCCGCACAAGCGGUGGAGCAUGUGGUUUAAUU